GCCCAUCCACGCUCGGGUGCUUAGCCCCGACGCGGAUCUUGGCCCUCCGCGCCACAGGGUGCGGCAGGCUGAAGUGCGCCUCUGUCCGACGGUGCGGGGAGCGGCGAGUGGUGGGUCUCUUCGCACACCGCCCCUUGCCGCCGUCGGUGCUGGGCCAUAUGUUUGACCCCAAGACGAGGGGCUUGCUGCCGCGGCCACAGUGCUGCGAGGCGACCCCGGACC
rnacentral:misc_RNA from 1 species